rnacentral:lncRNA from 10 species
CAAAUAUUUUUUUUCUACUUUCUGUAUCAUUAAGACUCAUCAUCACUCAGAGACAACCAAACACUGUGACAUUUUGAUAUAACCCUUUCCAAAAGUGUAUAUUUUUCACAGUUUUGAGCACGCAUUGCAUACCAUUUUUUCACUGAACACAAUCUAUCAUGAACAUCUUUCCAUAACUUAAAAGAAGCUGCAUGCCAGAACAGUCCAUCAUGUUCUGUUUUCUUUCAGAAAUCUUUAGAGAUGGAUCAUUUUCCUUACAAGAAUAGAUACCAGGGCCGGUAUGAACAUGUCAUGCAGUCUCCAAGCAACCCACAGUAGGCCCACCAUAAACAGAUGUUGUGGCCAGCAUGGGAGGUGCAAUGGUGAGUUGCUCUGUUUCCUCCCUCCCGUCCCCCUCCCCACCCCUCCCCUCCCCCUCCCCUCCCCCUCCCCUCCCUUCCCCUUCCCUUCCCUUCCUCUCUCACAAAACAGUCACAGAGAGAGGACAGCAGCGUACAUGGUGAGGUGCUGACGAUUCUGGUCCACUGGAUCCCACCAUCCCUAGGACAGUAAAUACCGUCCUAGUCACUACCCAGCAAGUUACCACCGCAUCAUUUCCUGCAUGUUCCAAAAUGAA